AUUGAACGCUGGCGGCAUGCCUUACACAUGCAAGUCGAACGGCAGCACGGGAGCUUGCUCCUGGUGGCGAGUGGCGAACGGGUGAGUAAUACAUCGGAACGUACCCUGAAGUGGGGGAUAACGUAGCGAAAGUUACGCUAAUACCGCAUAUUCUGUGAGCAGGAAAGAGGGGGAUCGCAAGACCUCUUGCUUUAGGAGCGGCCGAUGUCGGAUUAGCUAGUUGGUGAGGUAAAGGCUCACCAAGGCGACGAUCCGUAGCGGGUCUGAGAGGAUGAUCCGCCACACUGGGACUGAGACACGGCCCAGACUCCUACGGGAGGCAGCAGUGGGGAAUUUUGGACAAUGGGCGCAAGCCUGAUCCAGCCAUGCCGCGUGAGUGAAGAAGGCCUGGUUGUAAGUACUCUUUCGGUUGGGGUAAGGAAAGUUAGGUACACAGGAGUAAUAACCUUA
rnacentral:rRNA from 1 species